GAACUAGUAGAAAGAAACCUUCUGCCAAACUGUGCCAUCGAGUGUGUCAUCAAAAUACGUCCGGCAGGAAACAUCGAUAAAACGUUGAUACUCACCCCUCUACUAACGACUGAAGAACCAAAUGGACUUUCUGUCCCUCGCAAAACCUCCCUGCUGUCACUUAGGAAAGGUGCAGUUAGCUAUUUGGUUAGCUGAGUGUUAACAUUGAGAGGGCUUACCAACAAUCUGACUGUAAUUCUCCUUUACAAGAAAGGAAACACCGUCACCAUGUUGACCACUGCAAAGCGCCUCGCCGACUUCGGAUACCGGGGGUUUUCCGCCUCCAUGAUGCUGUUGACACUCUACGGAGGAUACCUGUGCACCAUGCGGGGAUACCGCUACAUGAACAAGCAGAAAGAGCUGCAGGUAGCUGCAGAAAACCAGGACGUGGAGGCCCUGAAGCCAUAGAGGCCUGGAUGGUUUGUCCACAAAAUCAUGGACAUUUCUAUUCCUCCCAAUAGACUUCAAGUGAUAAUAUUUGGGUAUUGAUCAUGUGAUCAACCGUUUUGUGUAGCUAAAGAAUGAGAAUGUCAUCUGUGUUCAGUCUCUCUCUCUGUCCCCAUGGUCCUGACUUGACCCUUUAGCACACAGAAGAUGCCACCACAGAGAGGGCUGCAGCAGAGAAGAUCUUUCUAAACUACUGGAUUACUUGUUAAGUUAUUAAAUGUCAAAAUUAUCAUAUUAAAUAAAGUUAAAUGUAAAAUCCCU